rnacentral:rRNA from 1 species
GGGACGAACGCUGGCGGCGUGCCUAACACAUGCAAGUCGAACGAGGUCCAUCCGGUGGCAACACUGGUGAAGACCUAGUGGCGAACGGGUGAGUAUCACGUGAGCAACCUGCCCCGAAGACUGGGAUAACACCGGGAAACCGGUGCUAAUACCGGAUAUCCCCACCGAAUCGCAUGGUUUGGUGAGGAAAUGAAUUUCGCUUUGGGAGGGACUCGCGGCCUAUCAGCUUGUUGGUGGUGUAACGGACCACCAAGGCUUCGACGGGUAGCUGGUCUGAGAGGACGAUCAGCCACACUGGGACUGAGACACGGCCCAGACUCCUACGGGAGGCAGCAGUGGGGAAUCUUGCGCAAUGGGCGAAAGCCUGACGCAGCAACGCCGCGUGAGGGACGAAGGCCUUCUGGGUUGUAAACCUCUUUCAGCAGGGACGAUGAUGACGGUACCUGCAGAGAGCCCGGCAACUACGUGCCAGCAGCCGC